UGUCAGCACUCAUCUGAUAUACUUGACUGAUAUGAAUUUCAUUUUUUUUUUUGUGGGCAGUGGUGGCUUAAUGCUUAGGGAAGUGCUCUUGUAACUGAAAGAUUGCAGGGACAGAUGUCAUUAAAGUCUUUGAUACUAAUUAUGGACGGGGAGAUACAGCGGCUUGCUCUGUUGGGCAGUCACCUAAUGAGGUGAUGGAUGACAGCUAUUUCCUGUUGAUCACUGCUAGUAUCACUGCUGCAAUAUCAGACAGUUAAACAUCAGGAACACACUUCUGCUUUUUUGUACAUUGUAUUCACAUUAUCACACUUAAAAUAUACGUGAACCAUAACCCCUGUUUAAAUGUUGAGUGCAUUGAACCUCAGUAUCGGUGUCUCGCCUUUUGUAACUUCCUAAUGAUCAUUUUUAGCUGCAAUGGGAAGUCGGUGCUCAGCGACACCUGUUAUGGCACUUUUAAAUACCUGGAGGUGUCAUGGCCGCCUUGCUACCAGCAAAAUUAAAAGCUAACUGAUUUAGAAGAGAAUAUAUCAUGCUGCCGUGAAGAAGAAUCAGCUUCUGCUGGUGCUGCUUCCCGUUUGUCUCCUCGGGGAAGAGCAUCACUUCUCCUACAGUUCCAUCAGCUGCGAGAAUCAUCUCAUUAGGAUCUACGAUGCCUUCUAUGGGUGGAUGAGCCACACCAUUUGCUCUAAUGGUCGUCCUAAGUUGCAGCUGACCAAUGCACGAUGGCUAAAGGCGUUGACAUUGUAUCUGAAGGGUAAAAUGUGCUUUUCCUUUCCCGAUUAAACAUACUCAUCUAUUUCUACACAGGAAAAUGUCUGCAUUUUAGCUCUUCAUCCCCGACGGAACCAGCUGUGACCAUGCAUUCACUCUCACAGGUCCAUGUCUUGGAAUCUACAAACAUCUUGAAGUAUCAUAUGAAUGCAUUGUAACUUGGGGAUAAGGAUGGCCUCGAGCACUAAGCCAGCCUCCUUGGACAGUGUGUUCCAUCUCUUGGCUUCCCCAGCUUUCAUACCACUGCCCCAAAACAGCAGCAUGGAGGUCUGUAGCAGAAGUUAUACACAAUAAAACGGCUAAAUCCAAAAUCUACACUUGUGACCAUGGCAGUAGCUGGAAUUUUUGAACAUGUGGCUUUUGCAAAUGUACUUUCCACAGUUGCUGCAAGACGUACUUGUUUCGCAGUGCAGAAAUUGCAUCUCUUCCUCUUCUAUCCCUUUCCAUUCGCUUGCAGUGUGACUGCAGGCCAAUCAGGUUUGGACUGCUCGACAGGCCUUACAAAUGCUUCAGAGGACGGCCUGCAGGGAAUAUGCUGCACUCAUACUCCACAACAGGAAUCACAAGAACCUUUUCAUGCUCCUCCAGAACCAGCUUCCUCUUAUUCUUCUGGCUUUCCUUCCAGUAGGGAUUUAGUUCACUCCAUACUGUUGUAAUGCAGUUGUAGCUGGAGACAUCAGUGAUGUUGGAAAAUAUCCAUGGAGCCAGCAAGCCAUCUUCCUGUCUGUGAUUUUGAUUGUCCACAUCUCCUUUGUUAGCAUUGUAAUCUCGAUUGUGUCCUCAAAACUGACUUCAGUGCCCAUGUGAAGCCUACUCAUUAGCAUCACAUUCUUGGUCCUCUUUGGGAUUUAAGAAACUGGAGUGGAGGUGGGAAUGAAAGCAAAUGACAUGACCUCUGUCUUUCGAUGCAAUCAGAGUAGAUGGCAGCUCCGGCUUCUUUAGCCUCGAUGUGCCGACCAUAGUGAUCUUCAGGCCAAGUUCAAAGGAAGCAAACAAAUUAUCAUAGAUGACUACGUCAGGUCUCAUGACAAUUUUAGGACGGCCCCUCCAAACAAUGUGUGAAAUGUUUACUGUUUCAAUGCGUAUUUAUAAAUCUUUUACACGUUUCAAUGCACCUGUGCUCAUUUAGUUGACCCUAUUAACAUUUGUAAAAAUUUGUGUAGCAGCUCUGCAAAUUAUAAAAUUUGGUCAAAUUUACAUUGUUGCAUUUCACGCUAGAAAAUUCAUAUUUGGGGUGUUUUUCCUGCUGUUGACUUCCUGUUGUUUGACUUAAACUAAUUCAUACAGUAUACUGUUGAUGUAUAUAUGUGGAGAUGCCUCUAAACCCGGCUGUUUAUAUUAGUCCAGCUGAGCACCGUUCUCUUCCUUCCUUGUAAGAACAUUUUCAUGCUAUUAACUCACAACCAGAGGCUGUGUGGCUGUUGUGUAUAAUGACUCUUUGGUCUGAUGUGAAUUGUAUCAUCAUUGCAUUUUUGCUGGAGAACCUUCAAUCAUGGAUGAACUAAUGAAACAUUCAUAUAUUGUGAAGUUGAUUUACUGAGAGAUUAGAUGAAAUAUAUAGUGGUGCUUGUGCAAGUAUAAUGAAAACUGAUUGUAAUCCGCCUAGCCUGCAGAAUAUUGUGUGAAGCAAGGUCAACAGAAGGAAAAAAAAAUCGAACAUCCCACGUCCAAUACAAAUGUAUCGCAAAAGGUUAUUUAUAAUGAAAAUAUAGUUAAGCUUAGCAAAAUGGUUGCAGAAUCAAAAAAUCAAGAUGACCUAGAGGGUAUGUUGACCUUUACUUAAUUAGUUGCCACUUCCAUGUUAGCAUUAAGCAAGCAUAAUUUAGCUGCCAUGGGGAAAUAAGUUUCGACCAAUCAAAUUCAUGGACGAGUCAUGUGACAAAAGCAUAUAUAACCUGUAAGCAUUUAAUAACAUGUGGCUCCCUUUGCACAAGGUGAAUAAAGUAACGUAGCAUUGA